UCAUUCGGAACGAACUGCCGCUCCAGC
rnacentral:sRNA from 1 species